rnacentral:rRNA from 1 species
AUACGGAGGACGCGAGCGCUAUCCGGAUUCAUUGGGUUUAAAGGGUGCGCAGGCGGCCGUGCAAGUCAGCGGUGAAAGCCCGGGGCUCAACCCCGGAAGUGCCGUUGAUACUGCAUGGCUGGAAUGCGGUCGAGGCGGGCGGAACGUGGCGUGUAGCGGGGAAAUGCGUAGAUAUGCCACAGAACGCCGAUAGCGGAGGCAGCUCGCCAGGCCUGCAUUGACGCUCGGGCACGAAAGCGUGGGGAUCGAACAGGAUUAGAUACCCUGGUAGUCCACGCCGUAAACGAUGGGCGCUCGUCGUCGGCGGCAGACAGUCGGCGGCCAAGCGAAAGCGAUAAGCGCCCCACCUGGGGAGUACGGUCGCAAGGCUGAAACUCAAAUGAAUUGACGGGG